CCUACGGGGGGCUGCAGUGGGGAAUAUUGGACAAUGGGGGGAACCCUGAUCCAGCCAUGCCGCGUGUGUGAAGAAGGCCCUCGGGUUGUAAAGCACUUUCAGUGAGGAAGAACGCCUGGUGGUUAAUACCCAUCAGGAAAGACAUCACUCACAGAAGAAGCACCGGCUAACUCCGUGCCAGCAGCCGCGGUAAUACGGAGGGUGCGAGCGUUAAUCGGAAUUACUGGGCGUAAAGCGCGCGUAGGUGGCUUGAUAAGCCGGUUGUGAAAGCCCCGGGCUCAACCUGGGAACGGCAUCCGGAACUGUCAAGCUAGAGUGCAGGAGAGGAAGGUAGAAUUCCCGGUGUAGCGGUGAAAUGCGUAGAGAUCGGGAGGAAUACCAGUGGCGAAGGAGGCCUUCUGGACUGACACUGACACUGAGGUGCGAAAGCGUGGGUAGCAAACAGGAUUAGAUACCCUUGUAGUC
rnacentral:rRNA from 1 species